ensembl:lncRNA
CUUCGAUCCUGCUGUUCCAGUGCCAGCACCUGUAGCUACUCCUGCAGCAACCAGGAAUGGCACAACCUGCAGUGCCCUCUUAUGCUGGACAGGCCAUCACACCAACCUUGGAAUAUAGUUGGAUAGCAAAGUUAUGCAAAGAGUCCCUGAGUACUACAAGAGCUGGUCUACACAGAGAGUGUGGUCCUCUGACUUUUCAUGGGGCAUGCUUGUCUGACAGUCUAUGGAGCAUAUACUUCUGGCCUGUCCUUGGAGCGUGCUCGUCUGACUCACCAUGGAGCAUGCUCAUCUGACUCACCAUUGAGCAUGCUCCCCCACCUAUGCAUAGAAUGUGCUCUUGAGAACUUGCAUCUAUCUGCACACAGAGAAACAGAUGUGCUUUCAUUUUCCUAAGCAAAAUAACAGGAAGUAUCAUCAUUCUUGAGGUCACAGUAUUCAUAACAGGAAUGUGUGGAUAGUCACGUGAGAUCUAUUGGGAAGCAUGGUGUCUGGUUCAGUCCCUAUCUUGAGGGAGAUAAAAUAAUCUCAGUUCUCAAAUGGUGUCAGUCACCGUAAGGACCCAAUCCAAGAGGACUAAACACUUCUGUAGUCCCUUAUCAUCUGAGCUUGAAAGGGGCCUCUGCCUCUUCAGCCAGCUGGGCAGCUCACAGAAAUUCUAUCCUUGCAAACGGAGAUAUAGGUACCAGAGAAGCAGCUCUUCCCUCUGAUUAGUGGAACAGCUAUGACAGAAAUUGCCUUUUCCCAAAGACACAAAGUGACAUAUUAAAGGAGAAGCCUCUCUUUUGGUGCCAUGGAGUCAUUUAAAAAUAAAUGUAGAAACUCCAAAGAAUGUCUGUUUAAGCACAGCUGUAAUUCAGGGACACAAGACCAUUCACUUCAGCCAUCUCUCUGCCGGAUUCACUUCUUGAUCCUCAGAUUAUGUAGGAAUCAAAUCCAGUACUAUCUUUACUUUCAAAGUCAGUUUGCCUGUUUUGCUGGUGACUACAUGGUAUGUUAGAGCCUUGUACUUAUGCUUCAGUUUCCAAACCUAAUCGUGAUCAUGGGCCAGUAAUGUCGAGGACCAGGUCAUGAAAGCCCUCAUAGCUUACCCACCUGGGUAAGCUUGCAGGAAUAUUGCCAAAUGAAUGAGAGACUGAUGAAAACUGGAGUACAGUAGUGGGUGUGUUGCUAAGCAGCCUGGUAAAGAGGAUUACAAAUUAGGUCCGAUUAGUAGAAAAGGUGGGGUAAACAGUGAGAAAGACCGCUGUUCUGGGCUAGCAAAACUGGGUCCUAGUCCCAGGACGGCUUGCUUGGCUUUACUCACUCAACAAAUACUCCUCGAAUUUCUAGGCAUUUGACAGGCUCAGAAUAAGACAACAUUUCUUCUCCCAAAACAUACUGAAGGUGUCUAAUUGGAUCACAAGAGAGAUAUGGGAAGACAUUCCACCUUGGUAAGUAAACGUGGGGUAUGUGCUGAGCAAGAGGCUUCUAAAUCAAGUUGUUGUCCAGGAAAGCAUUCUGAAGACUAUUGCUUCAUGCCUUGAGGGAUACAAAGGGUCAUUUGUAGACUGGUGGAAAAAUUUGCCCACCACAGGGAACGGGACUAGUGUUGUUCUACAUCAUGAAAUGUAGGAGGUGGCAUUUGACAGCUGGUAGCAUAGCCAGAGGUGAAUAUAACCUAAGUUACGUUGGAAAGUAAAAAUGCCAUUGAGUCAGUACAAUUUGCAGUUGAAGGUAGAAGUCUAGAGUCAAGACAAAACUGGGUUUAAAGAUAAACUUUGACAUACACCAGUCACGUGACAGUAAUCACUUAAAAAACAAACAAACAAACAAACAAACCAAAAAAAAAAAAAAAAAAACCAAACACUCUUCAAGUUUAGUUUCCUUAGCACAGUGUUCUCCUGAUUUGGUUAUCUAUUUAUGUCCAGCAACUCCUCUCAAAUGAAAUGCCUUAAGACAACACAUAUUUAGUAAUUCUCAGGGUCAUUAUGAAUUAAGAAUGUGUUAUGGCUUAAAUGAGGCCCUUGCUUCAAGGGUCUAUCACAUGGCUGCAACCAAAGUCAACCAUGGUUGUGGUGCUAUCUCAAGACUCCAGAAGCUCAUUUACAGGUCUCUUGGCAGAGUUUGAUUCUUGCUGGCUGGUGACCAGAGACUCUCUGGAGUUCUUUACUAUGUGUUGCCCUCCUAAGGCAGUAUAUAGCUUCCUCAGAACCAGUGGAGAUAUGGUGUUGACUGGCAAGACAGAAAGGCCAUUGAAGUGAAUUCUGAUCACUAUGGCCCCAUUCUGUUGGUCAGAAUUCACAAGCUAGCCUACCCUUCUCAGGUUGGCAGGGGUGGGUUGUUGGAGAGUAGGAGUGCAUGGGAGGAUGGGCAUUUAUACAAGAAAGAGAACACUAGGAAAUCAAGCUGUGGGGAUUCCAUCUUUGAUUUUGGUUUGCCUCUAAUUUGUAGGCUAGACCUCCAGUCAAAGUUAGAGCUAUUGUUAUGCUGAAUGGAGGAAUGCUUAGCCAGAGGAGAAAUGUUGAGCCAGAGGCAGAAUGUACGGUGGGUGGAAGAGUAAAUAAGGUUAAAUAAAUAACUAAGAGUAAAUAAGAGUAAAUAAUUUGGACAAGUCAAAUCGCCUCCUGCCUCUGAGACACCAUUUUGUCCUCAGCAAAAUGUAAAUAGUUGGUCACAGGGGGACAAAUGAGGCAAAAAAAGUGCAAGCUUCAGUUUGUUUUCUGAGGGAGAAAACAUAGCUCUCUCCAGCUUGCAGGGACAAACUGCUCUGGGCCUUUUCUGUUGUGUUGAUUAGGAGUCUGUCAGUCUGGUAUCUUCAAGGAUUUUAGUAUUUGGCCCCUUGGAGACAAUUUUAAAGAAAUAUAUGAAAUAAUAUAUAAAUAAUUAAGAAUUACAUGGCUGGGAAAAACACAACGAGAAAGCUGG